rnacentral:rRNA from 1 species
UUCCAGACUCCUACGGGAGGCAGCAGUGAGGAAUAUUGGUCAAUGGGCUUACGCCUGAACCAGCCAAGUCGCGUGAGGGAAGACUGCCCUAUGGGUUAUAAACCUCUUUUGUCAGGGAGCAAUUGGCGCUACGUGUAGCGUUAUCGAGAGUACCUGAAGAAAAAGCAUCGGCUAACUCCGUGCCAGCAGCCGCGGUAAUACGGAGGAUGCGAGCGUUAUCCGGAUUUAUUGGGUUUAAAGGGAGCGUAGGCGGGUUGUUAAGUCAGUUGUGAAAGUUUGCGGCUCAACCGUAAAAUUGCAGUUGAUACUGGCAUCCUUGAGUACAGUAGAGGUAGGCGGAAUUCGUGGUGUAGCGGUGAAAUGCUUAGAUAUCACGAAGAACUCCGAUUGCGAAGGCAGCCUGCUGGACUGUAACUGACGCUGAUGCUCGAAAGUGUGGGUAUCAAACAGGAUUAGAUACCCCAGUAC